rnacentral:lncRNA from 1 species
GAAUUUUACAUCGCACUCUAAUUCUCAGACACGGAGCAAAUUUUAUUUCAGAGAAGAAUGCAAUUUCAAAAGUACAAUGACUAUACUCUCCAUGAAAAAGUAAAAUAUUUGGGAGUAACUAAGAAAUGAGACAGAGAAACUGUAAUGAUGACCAUAUCCUCCUACUGACUUAUGCUGAAGACAAAAUAAAAGUUCCAAUCUUGCUACUAGACAAAUGAUUGUUCCCACCCUCUUUAUGUGUCUCAUUCUUAAUGGAGAAGCAUGUAAAAAUAACCUGAAGCUAAAAGUAGAGAACUCUAGAGAAGGAAGAAGGAAGAUGAACCCAUCCACUUGUCUGUUAUGACAAAUUAGUGUUGCUCUGAGGCCAUUUUGAGGCCAUUUCCACCUGUAUGAGGCCUGUAUUUGCUCCCCUCUCCAAACAGUAUGUUAGUCACCUUUUCAUAAUGGCCCUCCUUACUUGUUUUUCUUUUCUUCAGACCAUUUGACACAGUCUGCUGUUUUACUAGGCAUUCAGAAGGCUUUAGCAUGCCUUCUAAUCAUAGCAUAUUAAAGAACAAGCAAAUGUUAAUGUCU